UCUGUCGGUCUCCCUCUCUCUCCUAGUCCUGGGCUUGCUUUCAGCUGGGCUUGCAGUCUGAUCUUAGCCGUUAUGAUGCCCCAGAUCUGACUAUUCCCUGCUAAUUAAAGGUUUGGAUCAAUCUGAUGCUCUUGGUGAGAGUUUACUGAACAAGAAGCUGUUGGAAGAUUGUCGGAUUUCUACUGAACUCAGGAAGUUCUUUGGUAGAAACAAUGGAGCUAGCAGUUCUUCUUUCACCUCCCCAAACCUCUUCUUCUCACAGAGGCCAGAGACGACUUCUGUUCACUAUCAUAGAGA